CAGUCGUACCUGCGGACAAUCAGCUUUUUGAGUGUGAUUAUGUGGGGCGUGAGGAGUUUAAUCACCCUCAUGUUUUACGUAUUCGUGCUCUUGGGUGUACUUGUCUGUGUGGUAGGUUAACAUCAAUUUCGGUCGUCAUUAAAAUGAUUGGAGGAAUGUAGCUUUGGUCUCGUAUCGAAGUGUUAUAGACUC
rnacentral:rRNA from 1 species